rnacentral:misc_RNA from 1 species
UCUCUCUCUCUCUCUCCCUCUCUACCAAACCAACUCCUCGCAAACGACCUCGUCUUCUAUAUAGGCGAAGGCGGAAAGGGGAGAAUUUGUAAUGGCUACUGCUACAUACCCACCACCUCCACCGUAUUACAGAUUGUACAAAGAUUACUUGCAAAACCCUAAGUCCGCUCCUGAGCCUCCUUCUCCUAUUGAAGGGACCUACAUCUGUUUUGGUGGAAAUUACACUACUGAUUAUGUACUUCCAAGCCUGGAAGAGCAAGGAGUGCGUCGGCUCUAUCCCAAGGGACCCAAUGUAGGUAUGUUUACUCUAAUUUUGCUUAAAUUUUGGAAAUUGUGGCGAGUAUUGAGUAGUGGUGUUGAUUGAUGAAGUUGAUGAAGUAUUAUUGAGAGCUAACUGAGCACUGCUGAAUUGUGUCCUUCAAUUUGUUACGUCCCUUCUGCUUUACUCCCCUACAUUCGACCCUUUUCAGAUGAUCCUUGUUUGGAUAAUGGUUUGUUAUGGUUUCAUAUUGAAUGGCAUGGUUAUAUUAGAUUGUUCCUGAAGUAAGACGGUUCUGGGUUGUAAACCAUCAAAUUGGUUGUUUAAGAUGGUUUUAAAUUUUUUAUAUUUCCAUUUUAUAUAAUAACCAUUUAUAUAUUUAAAAUAAGAAUAAGGAUAUUUUAGUAAUCUUUAUAUUUAUUUUAUCAUACCAUUACUAUAUAACUAAACAACAAAUAAGAAAAAGGUUAUUAAACCAUCUUAUACCAUAUAGCUAAUAAUAAAAGCUAUAUCAUUCAAUAUAAUAUGAUACAAUACAUUAAUAAACCACGCUACACUCAAUCCAAAUGAGGUGUUAGUGGUUUCAUUCUUUUUCUUGCACAUUUUUGUCACCGAAUGUGGCGCAAAGCUACUGUUUGAUAGAUGGUGUUAUCUUUUCUAGAUUUCAAGAAAGAACUGAGGUCGCUUAAUAGAGAAUUGCAGUUGCACAUUUUGGAGCUUGCAGAUACUGUUAUUGAGAGACCAUCGCAAUAUGCUAGUAGACGACAUAUCCCUCAUAUUUAAGAACUUGCAUCACCUGCUCAAUUCAUUGAGACCCCAUCAGGAGGAGAGAAGAAGCGCAGAAACUUCUCAAGGAGGCUCUUGGAACUUUGGAUGGCCAGUAGGGCAUAAAUUGUUGGCCAAGUUUUAAGAGUGGAUUGGCAUUUGCUGGUAAUUGCUAUAGAUGGUUUUGCUAUGCACUUGUGGAGACUUUCAGGACUUGUAGAUUGCAGUUUCAGUUGGCGUCUCAAGUGGGUUCAUACACUGAGUUUCAUUAUUGCAGUUACAUUUUAUUUAAUAGGAAAAUCUUGAUGUUAGAUCUUGAAGUUUUUUUUUCUGUACUUGUUGUAAAGCAAUCUUUGUGUGGAACCCUAGUGCCAUUAUCAGAUGUUAUUCCUGAUUCCUGUACUGUUAUUUUUUAUUUUUUUAAUAUUUCCUUCCUCUUGUCAUACUUGAGCAACUUGACCAUAGAAAUUUAUCCUCAAACAAGACAAGCUUUCAAGCUCCCUCCAAUGCUAAUUGAAUUCACCCUUUGCUCCAUUUGUUGCAAUUGCCCCUACAUCUUGUUGCCCAAAACAUCCAUUACGACGUUCCAGUUCCAGCAAGUUUUGUGAGUUCCAUUUCUUUCAAUUGUGUGGUCUGUGGAGGAAGCAGAUUCUAACUGUAUGUUCUAUUGCCCUUUUGCCAAUCUUAUUUGGUGCUGUGUAUUGCGUAUUAACUGCUGUGUCCGUAGCAAAGAAAAUCUUCUGAAGGCCAAUGUGGUAAAUGUAAAGAUGCUCCUCCUCUUUUGUCCGUCUUCCUCAAUCAUUCUGGUUCCUGUUGGAUCUUUGUGUGUUUUGUUGAGGCAAGAAUAUUAAAAAUCAACGGCGUUAGU